UCUUCGGCAAUGGGGGGAACCCUGACCGAGCAACGCCGCGUGAGUGAAGAAGGUUUUCGGAUCGUAAAGCUCUGUUGUAAGAGAAGAACGUGUGUGAGAGUGGAAAGUUCACACAGUGACGGUAACUUACCAGAAAGGGACGGCUAACUACGUGCCAGCAGCCGCGGUAAUACGUAGGUCCCGAGCGUUGUCCGGAUUUAUUGGGCGUAAAGCGAGCGCAGGCGGUUUGAUAAGUCUGAAGUAAAAGGCUGUGGCUUAACCAUAGUAUGCUUUGGAAACUGUCAAACUUGAGUGCAGAAGGGGAGAGUGGAAUUCCAUGUGUAGCGGUGAAAUGGGUAGAUAUAUGGAGGAACACCGGUGGCGAAAGCGGCUCUCUGGUCUGUAACUGACGCUGAGCUCGAA
rnacentral:rRNA from 1 species